rnacentral:rRNA from 1 species
UACGUAGGGUGCGAGCGUUACUCGGAAUUACUGGGCGUAAAGCGCAGGUAGGCGGUUUGAUAAGUCUCUUGUGAAAGCUCCCGGCUUAACUGGGAGAGGUCAAGGGAAACUAUCAGGCUAGAGUGUGGCAGAGGAAACUGGAAUUCCUGGUGUAGCGGUGAAAUGCGCAGAUAUCAGGAGGAACACCGAUUGCGAAGGCAGCUCGCUGGGACGUAACUGACGCUGAGACGCGAAAGCGUGGGGAGCAAACAGG